AAGCCCGGCCGGGCAGUGGGUCAGCUUCUGCCGGGAGUGGAGCCCCGGGCCCAGGGCGUUGCCAUCUACGGGGUUUUAAAAGCGGAAUUGUUCCUGUCACUCCGAGGUCUCCGACCUCCGCCUACGAAAGCGUAGACACACCCCCAUAUGGCGGCUCCGGGUUCUGCCGGUCUUCCAGGCUGAUUUGCAAAGCUGGCGCCUGCCUGCGGGCUCUUUCCUGCCCCGGCACGGGCUUCCCGUGCAGGUGCAGCGCUGACGAUUGGGGCCGCCUCUGCACGCACCUGCAAUAGUGACCACUGGCAUAUGGUGGAGGGGAAGAGCGUCCUCCAGAAACGGCCCCGGCAUGGCUUGAGAUAUUGGGACCCACAGGUGGAUGAUGGCCGUUCGUGUGAGACCGUUGCCUCUUCCUUCCUCCCUCUUUGAGGCCAGCCAAGAGAAGGAUGGAGCCGUUACCUGGGGAGUGGGCUUUCCGGCACACGGAAGCAAUGAAUGAACAAAGAAAUGGGCCCCCAAAGAUCUGUCAGAAUCUCCUACCCUACAGAACAGGUUUAUGCCAGAAAAAUCCAACGACAGUGAAUUUCAGCCCAGCAAAUCCUAUAGCAGCACUGACUUCCAUUAGAAAAUCAGGAGGGACGCCCGGGUGGCUCAGUCGGUGAAGCGUCCGACUUUGGUUCGGAUCACGAUCUCACGGUUCGUGGGUU